UAGGGAAUAUUGCACAAUGGGCGAAAGCCUGAUGCAGCAACGCCGCGUGAACGAUGAAGGCCUUCGGGUCGUAAAGUUCUUUUUGAGGAGACGAGGAAGGACGGUAUCCUCAGAAUAAGGAUCGGCUAACUACGUGCCAGCAGCCGCGGUAAAACGUAGGAUCCGAGCGUUAUCCGAAUUCACUGGGCGUAAAGCGCGUGCAGGCGGUACAGCAAGUUGGAUGUAAAAUCUCCUGGCUCAACUGGGAGGGGACGUACAAAACUGCUGAACUAGAGGACGGCAGAGGAAGGUGGAAUUCCCGGUGUAGUGGUGAAAUGCGUAGAUAUCGGGAGGAACACCAGUGGCGAAGGCGGCCUUCUGGGCCGUACCUGACGCUCAGACGCGAAAGCUAGGGGAGCAAACGGG
rnacentral:rRNA from 1 species